rnacentral:rRNA from 1 species
AGUGAACGCUGGCGGUAGGCCUAACACAUGCAAGUCGAACGGCAGCACAGUAAGAGCUUGCUCUUACGGGUGGCGAGUGGCGGACGGGUGAGGAAUACAUCGGAAUCUACUUUUUCGUGGGGGAUAACGUAGGGAAACUUACGCUAAUACCGCAUACGACCUACGGGUGAAAGCAGGGGAUCUUCGGACCUUGCGCGAUUGAAUGAGCCGAUGUCGGAUUAGCUAGUUGGCGGGGUAAAGGCCCACCAAGGCGACGAUCCGUAGCUGGUCUGAGAGGAUGAUCCGCCAUACUGGAACUGAGACACGGUCCAGACUCCUACGGGAGGCAGCAGUGGGGAAUAUUGGACAAUGGGCGCAAGCCUGAUCCAGCCAUACCGCGUGGGUGAAGAAGGCCUUCGGGUUGUAAAGCCCUUUUGUUGGGAAAGAAAAGCAGCAGGUUAAUACCCCGCUGUUCUGACGGUACCCAAAGAAUAAGCACCGGCUAACUUCGUG